UAUAAUUGAAAUAUGUAAGAUAUAACCGUUUUUCAAGUGGUGGAUUUUAUUUCUAAUGUUCUCAACAAAAUUGUAAAUGGGCCAGUGUAAACCUGGCUUAUACAGGGUGAAUCUAGAAUGAUGUUAUUGAUUUCAGGUGGUGGCCUCGUUUCCGUGUAACGGGGUGUCAAAGUUUUGCUAAAAAUAUUGUUCCUUUAUUAAUAACUGACAAUUAUUUUUGCCGAUUUUGAUUAAACUACGCGUGUUUGUUGUGAGAAACAAGAGGUUUCUUUUCAUGAAAUUGGAUUUGUAGUUGUGGUUCCAGUGGCGUCGCAGAGGUUUACUUGAUUGAUAUUUAUGAUAAAAUACUUGUACGCCACUGUUUUCGCUGUUUGAUAUGAUUUGAACUAGCUAAACUUUAGUUUAGUCAGAGUCAGCGGGGUAGAAAUGGAGAUUUGAUAUUCGUCGCCAUUUGAACAAACUUUAAAAUGAAAAUAUGUUUGGAUAGUAGAUGGAAAACGUAUUCAAACUGCUAGUUAAUUCGUAUUUAAUUCGAAGAACAGCAUAGGUAAUAAUGAAAAAUGAUGAAAUCAGAUGCUCAAAAUGAGAACCUUGACUUGACAACUGGUGUCACAUAAACAAGUGAUUUAAGAUAUUCCCAAAAAAAAUUAUCCAAAAAGUUCAAGUCGAGAGAUCUAGGUGGCCAUGGUUGAGGUCCCCCACGACCUAUUCACUGGUGAGCAGAGGAAUCAGUAAGAUUCAAGAGCAGUUAUACUAAAAUGACCAGGUGGCCCGUCGUUCAUUAAUCGCAUAUUUCAUCUUACUAGCAAAGGUACAUCCUUUAACAAUUCUGGCGUCGUAUCUUCUAGGAAUUGUUUAUACCUCACACCGUUGAUUUCAAGGAUGAAGAAAAUACGGCUCUAUGAGAUUAUCGCCAAAAAUUCCCGCCCAGACGUUCACUGAAAAUUCCUGCUGAAAUCCACUUUCUAUAGUAAUAUGAGGGUUCUCGUAGGUCUGAGAAUGAUUUUUAUAAAAGUUUAUGACGGCAUCCCAUGAAGAACUUGCCUCAUCUGUGAAUGAAACUCCAUGAGUAAAAUUGGGAUUUUGUACAAUUCUUCAAACCACUGAUAAAAAUCCAAUCUUCUAGUAUUCUCCUAUGAUUGGUAUUAUUCUAUGUUCUUUUAUUCUUUAUUCAUACUGAAAUGCAAUCUUUCUAUAACAUUAAUCUUGCUACUUACUUCAAUACUUCUUUUUAUGAAAAUAUCAAACUUGGAGAAACACAGUGGCGUACAGUGAUUUUUAUCAUGAAUAUGAAUCAGCUAACCCUCUGUGAUGUCACUGGAAUUAUUAUACAUAAUGAAAGAUCAAUAUUUUCAGUAAAACUUUGACUUUCUAUUACUUGGAAACAUAUUAGGUUAGGACUCGCGUUCAUAUGAACUUUUUUUCAUAAAAUUUGACAAGAAAUCACCACAUGAAAUCAAUGACACAAUUUAAGAUACACCGUGUAUAUCAGAUUGAACUGGAUGUAUACAGUAUGACCAACCAUAAUAUCUAUAUUGUUUACUCUAUUUAAGGUCACUUGAAACUUACUCUAUUACUAGCCUGUAAAGAUCGAAAUUUUUAUGGAAUAACCUUAGAUUACGAGGAAUAUUGGUACAAAACUUAUUGAGCAUGGGUUGUCAUCUGUCAAAAAUAGAAUAAUUGGUUCGUUGCUAAUAUAGUCUAAGACGAUAGAUUGAGAUAGUCAUUAUUUUUUCAUGGUUGUAUUUCACCAACCUGAAUAUGUUGAAGAGUAUUCCAUCUUUGUAACAUUACAGAGAAAUUUGUAUAUGAAUUACCAAAAUAUAUCAAGAAUUAAUAGACUCUUUGGCAGUUGACAUACCUACUGUAUAUUACAGCCCUACAUAUAUUUUUGAAAAUGGUAUUUUAGGAGUGUUUAUGUAUAUUACAGUUAAAUAUUUUAUUAUAACUUACAUUUCAUAUGAUAUUGUUGUUUUUCUUGAGUUUCUGUUGAUUCAAGGUAAUAAACUUAAUGAAAAUCAA
rnacentral:lncRNA from 1 species